UGAGGAAUAUUGGUCAAUGGGCGCAAGCCUGAACCAGCCAUCCCGCGUGAAGGAUGACGGCCCUAUGGGUUGUAAACUUCUUUUCUGUGCAAAGAAACUUACCCUCGUGAGGGUAGCUGACGGUAGUACAGGAAUAAGGAUCGGCUAACUCCGUGCCAGCAGCCGCGGUAAUACGGAGGAUCCAAGCGUUAUCCGGAUUUAUUGGGUUUAAAGGGUGCGUAGGCGGACUUGUAAGUCAGUGGUGAAAUCCUGCAGCUUAACUGUAGAACUGCCAUUGAUACUGCUAGUCUUGAGUACAGUUGAGGUAGGCGGAAUGUGUAGUGUAGCGGUGAAAUGCUUAGAUAUUACACAGAACACCGAUUGCGAAGGCAGCUUGCCAAGCUGUUACUGACGCUGAUGCACGAAAGCGUGGGGAUCGAACAG
rnacentral:rRNA from 1 species